GCAAGGCUUGAAAGCAGGAAACAAAAAGCAGAAAUACGAGAAAAUCAGUGAAAGAAAAGUCUCCACUUCUAUUGAAGCUUUAUGUCGGGGUUACCCUACAGAAUUUGCAUCAUAUUUCCACUACUGCCGUUCACUACGUUUUGAUGACAAGCCUGAUUAUGCAUACCUCAAAAGGCUGUUCCGAGAUCUUUUUAUCCGUGAGGGAUUUCAGUUUGAUUAUGUCUUUGACUG
rnacentral:misc_RNA from 1 species